rnacentral:rRNA from 1 species
UGGGGAAUCUUGCACAAUGGGGGAAACCCUGAUGCAGCGACGCCGCGUGAGCGAUGAAGGUUUUCGAAUCGUAAAGCUCUGUCCUAUGGGAAGAUAAUGACGGUACCAUGGGAGGAAGCCCCGGCUAACUACGUGCCAGCCGCCGCGGUAAUACGUAGGGGGCGAGCGUUGUCCGGAAUUACUGGGCGUAAAGGGUUCGCAGGCGGCAUGGCAAGUCCGAUGUAAAAGGCGAAGGCUCAACCUUCGUAAGCAUCGGAAACUGUCAAGCUUGAGUGAAGGAGAGGCAAGUGGAAUUCCUAGUGUAGCGGUGGAAUGCGUAGAUAUUAGGAGGAAUACCGGUGGCGAAGGCGACUUGCUGGGCUUCAACUGACGCUGAGGAACGAAAGCGUGGGUAGCAAACAGG